UACGUAGGGUGCAAGCGUUAAUCGGAAUUACUGGGCGUAAAGCGUGCGCAGGCGGUUUUGUAAGUCUGUCGUGAAAUCCCCGGGCUCAACCUGGGAAUUGCGAUGGAGACUGCAAGGCUGGAGUCUGGCAGAGGGGGGUAGAAUUCCACGUGUAGCAGUGAAAUGCGUAGAGAUGUGGAGGAAUACCAAUGGCGAAGGCAGCCCCCUGGGUUAACACUGACGCUCAGGCACGAAAGCGUGGGGAGCAAACAGG
rnacentral:rRNA from 1 species